rnacentral:rRNA from 1 species
GACGAACGCUGGCGGCGUGCUUAACACAUGCAAGUCGAACGAUGAGCCCGGAGCUUGCUCCGGUGGAUUAGUGGCGAACGGGUGAGCAACACGUGAGUAACCUGCCCUUGACUCUGGGAUAACUGCGGGAAACUGUAGCUAAUACCGGAUACGACCCUCGGCGGCAUCGCCAGGGGGUGGAAAGAAUUUCGGUCAAGGAUGGACUCGCAGCCUAUCAGCGAGUUGGUGAGGUAACGGCUCACCAAGGCGACGACGGGUAGCCGGCCUGAGAGGGUGAGCGGCCACACUGGGCCUGAGACACGGCCCAGACUCCUACGGGAGGCAGCAGUGGGGAAUAUUGCACAAUGGGCGCAAGCCUGAUGCAGCAACGCCGCGUGAGGGAUGACGGCCUUCGGGUUGUAAACCUCUCUUAGUAGGGAAGAAGCGAAAGUGACGGUACCUGCAGAAAAAGCACCGGCUAACUACGUGCCAGCCGCCGCGGUAA